CGACCCCCCACCCUAGCCUGAGAAAACAAAACCAAAACACGAUAACUCAUAACUAGCCCCAGCUGAGAAAAUUGGAUAACUCACUAGCCCUAACUGAGAAAAUUGGGGGAAAAAGGAUAGGUUUGGGUCGGCAGAGGAGACCGAGUUUGAGAGAGAGACCGAGAUUGAAGCCGAGUUUGAGAUUGAGACCGAUUUUGAUAGAGAGACCGAUUUGGAGGCAACAGAAAUUCCCAUCAGACAGAUUGAGAAGACUCGGACGUACAGAGUCCAAUACUUCAUGCCUCCCAAAAAAUACUCCUUAAGCACUACACAAUUUAUAUAACGAACAAUAUAUAUAUAACGGGCAUAAAGUAAUCUCCUACUCUUCUUCAUCCUCUUCAUAUUCUUUGACGCAGAAAUUCCCAUCAGGCAGAUUGAGAAGACCCGGAUGUACAGAGUCCAAUACUUCAUGCCCUCAAAAAACUAUCAAUCAAAAAACUAUCAAUGUGCAGGCUUUCUUCAUAGCAUUUUUAAUUGACUAAAUCAAAUGCAUUAAUACGGCAAAUAAAGUCAUCCUCCUUCUAAUCAGCCCAAUAUAGGAUGCUACCAGCAGUAACAAAACUUCCGAAAUCAAAGUACUCCGUUUCAAUCAAUCUUACUGAUCUUGCAACCCUAUAAUGAAAACCCUCUUACAAUCAGCCAGAAGUUUUGUCCAAAGACAUGUUGCAACAUCAUAACCAUAGAUUUGAGCAAUCUCACCAUCACUUGAAAUUGUAGCAACAAAAAUCUUUUGAUUAUCCUCUAAAGAUGCAGUAAACACAAGAUUCGACCUAAUCCUAAAUCUAGGAUUUGUCAAGGGAAUUAAGUUGAAUCUUGUGUUUACUGCAUCUUUAGAGGAUAAUCAAAAGAUUCUUGUUGCUACAAUUUCAAGUGAUGGUAAGAUUGCUCAAAUCUAUGGUUAUGAUGUUGCAACAUGUUUUUGGACAAAAAUUCUGGCUGAUUGUAAGAUGGGUUUUCAUUAUAGGGUUGCAAGACCAGUAGGAUCGAUUGAAACGGAGUACUUUGAUUUCGGAAGGUUUGUUACUACUGGUAGCACCCUAUAUUGGGCUUUUAAUCGGGAAGAGGAUAACUUUAUUUGCCGUAUUAAUGCAUUUGAUUUAGUUAAUAAAAAAUGUUAUGAAGAAAGCCUGCACAUUGAUGGUAUUUUUGGGAGGCAUGAAGUAUUGGACUCGUCUAGGUCUUCUCAAUCUGCCUGAUGGGAAUUUCUGCCUUAUCUUGCAAUCAAAGAGGAUGAAGAAGAGUAGGAGAUUACUUUAUGCUCAUUAUAUAUAUUGUGUGUGCUUAAGGUGGACAAGGAAGAAGAAGAGGAUGAUGAUGUUUACAAACACGGGUUGAGAGUUUCCAUUAGUCCAUAAGUAUUCCGUGGAUGACUGGAUACCCCUUCUUGAAAGUGUGUUAGUGGAUGAAGGGAAGAAACUAAGUUCAUCAAAUGAGUGGCCUUCUUUAAGGGCCUGCAACCUGUUGGAAAAUUAAGAAAAAAAAAAAAAAGAGUGCCCGACCAAGCUUGUAGCGGGACUGGCAGUAAUAAUGCAUGGAGACCAUAUGAGGAUAAUUCUGCUGCAUCAUUUAAUCAUAUGAUGGUGUAUGAUAUAGUCCUUAACCUAUUAAUUUGACAUUUAAUUUCAUGGCUAUUUGUAUUUGCUAAGAUAGAGACAAAUAUGCAACAGAAUGUGAAGUAAUAGUUGUUGUAUGAGUAUGACACUCGAGCAGAUAUGAAAUGAUGCACAUUUUGGUGCCAUUUCUAAGUUUUGUAACCAGUGCAUGCCCCCUUUCUAAACUGAUGAUUGUUGCAAGCAGUUUCAUCAACAAGGAAGAAAAUCAAAAUGCAAUUAUGGUUUUCUUUCAACAA